AAUAACAUUUUAGCACAGCUAACAUUUGCUCCUUCUUAUUAUUAUACAUUCUUUGGAAUAAUAAUAAUAAUUAUUAUUAUUAUUAUACGUUCUUUGAUUAUACGUUCUUUAAUUAUACGUUCUUUGACACAGGUCAUUUAUUACUUCCACCGGAUAACAACAGGUGGCGCUAAAUGAAUAAUUACAAAUAUGUUCAAAAGAUGUCACCGUAAUCUACGAUUAUGCUUUUUUCCUACUAUCUAAUAGAUGACGCUCUCCGCUUUCGAAAUGACGGUGUAGAUGUCGCUGCAGCUCUUAACAGUCUUCUCUGCAGAUGUGAAAUAGAAUUGAGAAUCAAACUGAUGCGGAACACCAAGCGGAUGCAGAAAAGAUUUUAGAAUCAUAGUAUUUACAAGUUGUGCAGGAAUUAGGAGUGGCGGGCUAAUGAUAGAUGACUGUGCUACGCGAAAUAAUAUAUUUUUGGAAAUUGAUUUAAUAGUCCCUUUUUCCAGCACUAUGAUUAUUUUAAAAUACAGGGUGCAUUAUAUACUGAUUAAAAAGAAAAGAAGAACAGUAUUAAAAAAUUCACAUUUCUAAAAUAUUGUUAUUAAAUAUUUUAGACAAACUGUGGCAUUGUCUACAAUUAUAGAAUGCUCUAAUGAGAAAACGGUUUCUGUUCGAAAAAAUUGAUUAUGGUAAUAAAUUGUAAUAGUUUCUUAAUUAUAAUAAUUCGGUGAAGAAUUUCCAAGCUAGUUCGGUAAAGCUGGUGAAAAUAUUCUACAAACAAGGAAAAGUCUACUAAAAUUUAUUCAUAAUCCUAGUACUCCAUAUGUAAUCAGAAUUAUAUCGUUAUGUUAAAAAAAAACAUUUUUCUAAGCUGGGGAAUAAUAUAUAUGUACAAAAUUUUUUCAAAAUAUUAAAUUUUUAAAGAAAUCUAAAUCAACCCCCGUCUUUGCUGAAUUGUAUAAAUUGAUUUUACAUUCAAGCAACCAUAAAUGAACAUUGGCCAAGUUUUCAAGAUGCGUUUUCUCCAAUAAUUUCAAUAGAGGUCAAACUGCUGCGAAUCACUAACACAGGGCGUUACAGCUGGGCUAAUUUGCAGAUCGUUUGUAAGACGUUUCAUGGUUAAAUUAUGGGGAAUUGUCGAUAGACCUAAAAUGCACCUAGAAAAUCAACCUUGAUCGCCUGUGACGAGGAAUUGCUUGAAUCGCAAGAUGAAGAUUUGACUGAAACCGACUUGGAGGAAAUGUUAAAUUCACAACCUAUUGAAAAAGAGGCUUCAACAAGCACUGGAAACGUGACAUUCAAUUUGAAAAAUCUUAGUGAAGGUUUAAGAAUGGCAAAUGAGCUCUGCAAUUUCUUUAUGAACAUUGAUCCGUGUAUGGAACGAAGUCUAAUUUUUAAGAGACAAAUUGCUAAUGCGACUGCUGUGUAUCAGUCUGAAUUGAAGGAGCUUUUGAAAACUGCUAAGCAAGAAAAAAUUUCAAAAUUCUUCAAACCAUUGCCUAAGCCUUAAGAUAAUUAAUUAAAAUGAACAUAUCCUCCAUAAUCCCAUAUAAAUUGCCAUCCCGUAUUCACGGUUUCUGUAUUAGCGGCAUAUUUAUGGAACAUAUACCCCGCGAAUAAAGAGCUUUUACUGUACUAGCAAAAUUGAAAUGAAUUAUGUUCAUACCUUUAUUGUUAAUUGAAUAAUAAAAAUAGGAAUUGAUUUAAUUCGUGAUCCAUGUAAACCCUUUUU